AAGACAUAAUUUGCCCAGCUUCUCUCAAGUGGCAAAGCUGUAGAGAAAGGUUUUGAACCCAAGUCGUUAGCCUCCAGAACCUGUGCUUUUAGCUACAGUGCAACUCUGCCUCAGGAGAAGCACAUCAAUCUUCGAUUUGAUAAUAACAAGAUCAUGCUGGCUACUGUGUGGACAGAAGGUGAUAGCAGGAAAGAAGUGGAAGCCAAGAAGCCGGUAUGGAGCCAAUGAGCAGUUCAGGUUUAAAAUUGAGGUGAUGAGAUGGAAUAUUACCUGUGUGCUUCGGAACAUCCAUGAGUGACAUGUGAUAGUUGCCUGGGAAACUAGAGAUGAAAUUUUAUAAGCCUUUGAAAUGCUUUACGUUUGAGAAUUAAGCUCAGCUGAAGUUUAAACAGCAUA